rnacentral:rRNA from 1 species
GUCUAUAGCUGUACCACCCUGAACAUGCUCAAUCUUGUCUGAUCUGGGAAGGAAGCUAAGCAGGGUCUGGCCUGGUUAGUACUUGGAUGGGGGAAUACUUGGGGGAAAGGAGAGAUAAAAA